rnacentral:rRNA from 1 species
GUCUACAACCAUGCUACCCUGAACAAGCCUGAUCCCAUCUGAUCGCAGAAGCUAAGCAGGGUCGGGCCUGGUUAGUACUUGGAUGGUAGACCACCGAGGAAUACCAGGUGCUGUAGGUG